rnacentral:lncRNA from 1 species
UGCCAAGGUUGUCUGGUCCUGGUAAAAAAUGUAUGAAAUGCCUCCACCUGAACAGAGAAGAAAAUGUGAUCCCAAUGAGAACUGUCUGCAGCAUCACACUCACCGCUGUGUCUGAGAACAGGAUUUUCCAUUUCGGCAGUGGAUCUAAACCUGAUGCCCAGGACCUGUUUUAAGCAGUGAAUCAAAGAUCACAGAAGUUAAAGUUUGGCAAGUUUUCGACGUCAAGGAGAUGGAAAGCCUAAAAUCAGUUUCUGAACCACUAAAUUAGAGGGAACAGCCUUGCUCGUGAAUUUUCCAGAAUUCCACAAACAAUUAAGAAGACCCAGGGUAGGAAGCACAUACAAUUUGUUUUCUUUGAUGGUUAAGUUGGUUUAAGGCACAGAGUUGAGAAGACAGGUAAGAAGAAGCAACUGUUCAAGCCCCAAGGAGAACCCAGAACCGACCCAGCCCCCGAGGAGAACCCAGAACCGACCCAGCCCCCGAGGAGAUCCCAGAACCGACCCAGCCCCCGAGGAGAACCCACAACCGACCCAGCCCCCGUGGAGAUCCCAGAACCGACCCAGCCCCCGAGGAGAUCCCAGAACCGACCCAGCCCCCGAGGAGAUCCCAGAACCGACUCAGCCCCCACGGAGAUCCCAGAACCGACCCAGCCUCCGAGGAGAAUCCAGGAUCCACCCAGCCCCCACGGAGAUCCCAGGAUCUCCUUGUUUUUUAAUCGAAAACUUGUUUUUCUCUCCUGUUUUUAAUUUCUUAAGGAGAAAAUUUGAGACGAAGACAAUGGCCACCUAAAUUUGUGUGAUACCCUGUUAUUUCACAGUUGCCUUACAAGAAUAACCGUGUCUCAUUUGUCACUUUCUGCUACCUGAGAAACCACUCUGUAUGAUGUUGACGUGUGACCAUGUCCAGGUGCAGCUGACGUAGUCUCAGAGACGUGUCUUUGGAAAAAACAGUACACAACAAAUGAUUAUGAGCCAUUCUGAGCAUGGUGGUGAGCUGCAGCCAGCAGAACACACCCAGCCCUGCCAGCAAAGGAAGCUUGGUCAACCACAGCAGCCUGUAUGGGCUGCGAUGGAAACCAUGUUGAGUCCCCACCUCACAGUUGAGAAAAGCAACAUAAUUUCACAUGAUGCACUAGCCGUGGCGCCUGCUACACACGAGCUCUGGAAACCUCAGCUGCCCUCAUCGCUUCCUGCCAUUCUGGAAGAAAAGUUAAAAUUGGAAUUAGCAGUAACACGGGCCUCUCAGAGUUUUGAAUAAAUAGUGCUGUAACUCAUCCUAGUAACUUAACUGGGAACCAGGCAUCUCAGCUGGUGUUGCAAAGUCACGCAGGGCUGGGGAUCCCCGAGCCCCCUGGGUGAGCUGGGUCUUGCCUAUUAGCUCUGUAGACAAGGCAGGUUCCAAAGGGCAGUGCGAAUGUGCUUCGAGUUUUACAAAAUUCUGUGAGUUCAAAGCCUUUGGAUAUCUGAGUCUGUCUUAAGAGAGCCUCAAGCUAAUAUUCACACAAUUGUGUGUCUCGGUAUACAGUUUAAAUGCUGGCAUUUAGCUUAGAGAACAAAGAAAACGUGAAGUCAAAGAAGGAACAAAAGCAUUAUAUCCUAUCAAAAAAUAACCAAAUACUAUUCAACCAUUUUGAAAAUUUCUGAUUCUGGCAUUGGGGAAAGUGGCUGCAGAUGACGGUGAUGCAUGCCCAGCAAGUGGAGGAGGCCGGGGGCAGAAUGUUGCCCAGGUGCUGGGUCGGUUCUGGGUUCUCCGUGGGGGCUGGGUCGGUUGUGGGAUCUCCUCGGGGGCUGGGUCGGUUCUGGGGUCUCCUCGGGGGCUGGGUCGGUUGUGGGAUCUCCUCGGGGGCUGGGUCGGUUCUGGGGUCUCCUCGGGGGCUGGGUCGGUUGUGGGAUCUCCUCGGGGGCUGGGUCGGUUGUGGGAUCUCCUCGGGGGCUGGGUCGGUUCUGGGAUCUCCUCGGGGGCUGGGUCGGUUCUGGGGUCUCCUCGGGGGCUGGGUCGGUUGUGGGAUCUCCUCGGGGGCUGGGUCGGUUCUGGGAUCUCCUCGGGGGCUGGGUCGGUUCUGGGGUCUCCUCGGGGGCUGGGUCGGUUCUGGGGUCUCCUCGGGGGCUGGGUCGGUUCUGGGAUCUCCUCGGGGGCUGGGUCGGUUGUGGGAUCUCAUUGGGGGCUGGGUCGGUUCUGGGAUCUCCUCGGGGGCUGGGUCGGUUCUGGGUUCUCCUCGGGGGCUGGGUCGGUUCUGGGAUCUCCUCGGGGGCUGGGUCGGUUCUGGGUUCUCCUCGGGGGCUGGGUCGGUUCUGGGUUCUCCUCGGGGGCUGGGUCGGUUCUGGAUUCUCCUUGGGGGCUGGGUCGGUUCAGGAUUCUCCUUGGGGCUUGAACAGUUGCUUCUUCUUGCCUGUCUUCUCAACUCUGUGCCUUAAACCAACUUAACCAUCAAAGAAAACAAAUUGUAUGUGCUUCCUACCCUGGGUCUUCUUAAUUGUUUGUGGAAUUCUGGAAAAUUCGCGAGCAAGGCUGUUCCCUCUAAUUUAGUGGUUCAGAAACUGAUUUUAGGCUUUCCAUCUCCUUGACGUCGAAAACUUGCCAAACUUUAACUUCUGUGAUCUUUGAUUCACUGCUUAAAACAGGUCCUGGGCAUCAGGUUUAGAUCCACUGCCGAAAUGGAAAAUCCUGUUCUCAGACACAGCGGUGAGUGUGAUGCUGCAGACAGUUCUCAUUGGGAUCCACCUUGUGAUUCUCAUUUGGGUCUAAUAGCCUUUCUUUUUUUCAGUUCCUUGUUAUUAAGUUGCUGUUUGAAUGGGCGUGUGGGUAAUCUCUGUGUGUGUGUGUUCGUGUGUGUGCAAGGGAGUUCACGCGGGGGGAUGUCAGGCCGGCACACAGGAAUGGAAAGGCUGCCCACUGGUCUCUGGAGCUGUUGAGGCUUCAGAGCGUCUCUUCCACUGCCGCCCUCCAGGGGCUCCCUCGCAGAGAGCGGAAGGCAAGGGCUGCCUGGGCUGCCAUGGGCCAUGGCUGAGACUGAGAAGUCUUUCCAGGAUGGUAAGUAAAGCAGGUGGGCACGGGGUAGGUGGGCACAGGUGAGCUGACAGCCAGCAGCCCAGGGAGCCCCGAAGUUCAGUCCAUAUUCUGUCUUCAGAUUUGGAUUCACUCCCCGUGGUUUAGAAACAGUGCUGUUUGAGGUUAAAAACAAAACAAACAAAAAGCCUGAUUUUCAAUUCUCAGAAUGGAUGAGAAGAGUGCCCUAUGGAGACUGGACUGUUUUUUCUUCUUAAGUGAAUAGCUCAAGGGGAACGUCCAGGUGCCGGCCUUCGGGGGUCUCUGCGCCACUGGAGCGGGGGCUGUUGGGCCUGCGGAGAUGCGCGAGUUGGAGUCUGAGGGUGGGUGUGGGUUCCCACCACCACGGGCACCACCAUUUCUAUCACCAGUUGGAGAAGUCCGUUUACCUGUGGAGCAGAUUCUCGAGUAUUGGAGGAAACACUGUGGAAGCAUCGACCGUUGAAUGCAGAUUCGUGUUCUGUUUAUUACUGCUAAGUGAGAUGCAAUUAGGAAUGAGAUAUCUUCACCCCACUGAGUCUGGGAGGGUCAAUGAGCAGUCACAUCAGUGAGCAGGCCAGGUGGUGACGCGUGUUACGUGCGUGUUACUCAGGAAAAUAAAGCAGGGCAGAUGCAGGACCAGGAUAACAUCACAACAGGUAGUUAAUUCACCACCACACAUUUAUAGUCUGAGGUCCUUGGACUGUAUGAGCUACAACAAUGACAGAUAAUCCAGGUUUCUUCAACCAAUUUGAAAGGGGCAAAUAGGAAGCUCUGAAGGACAAGGCCCCACAAAGACCCCACACCCUGCAAAUCCCCCAGGGGCUGUGCAGGAAGGGCACAGCGAGGCCCCCAGGAAUCAGCCCAGCCUCUGUGCCUUGGGUCCUGGACCUGGGUGGGCGAGAGUCCACGUGCCCGGAGCCAGAACCUGUCCCCAGCCCUUGACAGAGCCACAUCUCAGGGGACCAUUCCAGGUGGGGUGACAGUUCCCAGCUGCAGCGCCUGGAAGCCCAGGCUGUGGGCAGACGGUCCUUACCUCUGGGGUGGGCAUGAGUCGAGAGGCAGGACCUUGUGGGGUGACAGCUCUGGACCCUGAGUUGGAAUGUGCACCACUCCCAGCUGAGUACCCACUGGUCACACGUUGGGCCCCCAUGGCCUCCCUUCAGCCUCUUCACAGGAAACACGAAGGUGGCGUGGGCCAGGGAGGGGAGUUGACUUGAAUAGGGCAUUUCAAACUGCCAGUCACAAGCGAGGCCAAGGUUUAACAAAUGACUCAGGAAAAAACGGGGUUGGGGGAGGGCAUGAGACACUCCCAGGUGGGAGGAGGUACAGGCAGCGCUCCCUGCGUUCACACUCACCGUGGCUUUGUGACAGGGAUGCACUCUGAGAAAUACAUGGCUGGGCGAUUUCUCUGUGCGGGCCUCACAGUGACUUACACACGCCUGGAUGGCCGGGCCCCCUGUAGGCCUGGGCUGCAAGGUACAGCCAGCGCUCCUCCGCCACAGACCUGUGUGCAGGCUCCUGUACCGAAUGCCACAGGCGACUGCCACACAGUGGUGUAUGUGCGUCCAAACACAACUAACCCGGGAGAGGACAGUAAGAAUCUGGUGCUACAAUCCUGUGGGACCACCCUGCUUGACCAAAACAUUGUUAUAUGGUGCGUGGCUGUAUUUCCUCCAUAUCAAAACAUUGUUAUAUGGUGCGUGGCUGUAUUUCCUCCAUAUCAAAACAUUGUUAUAUGGUGCGUGGCUGUAUUUCCUCCAUAUCAAAACAUUGUCAUGUGGUGCGUGACUGUAUUUCCUCCAUAGAACAGAUGUCAGCGACCCCAGAGCAUGGGUUCGUGCAAUUUUAUAAACUCUAUAAGCCCAUCGAAUUGAAUUUUUAGUAAUGGCUCUGUUUAACAACCAGCUUGCAAAAUUCCUGAACACGUAAUGCUUGGUUGUCCUGAGCUGGCACCUUCGGCACAUGCGCACAUGCUCUCACACGUCCUCACACACACACACUCCCUCACUUACACUCACACACUGUCGUUCACACAUACAAGCACACACAUACGUGCACACAGCAGCUGCUCACGGCAUCUACUUGAGGGGCCCGACACUCAUUUAGAAGCUGAGUACACAAGGUUAGUCUAGGAAGCUAGAACAGAAUGUAAAACAUCAGGAUGUGGCCUGUCUAGUCGGGAUAAACAUUGUUUAUACGUUGGGACACAUUUGACUCCUUUCACACCUGGUGCUGGUUGGCUUGGAGAGCAGUGGGGCGCCAGCCAGCUGCCCUGACAGCCACGCCUCCUGGAGGGUGGAGAGAGCCUGGUCUGCAGAAAGCCUGCUUGCUUCCUGAGGGGCACAGACACAGGUGGCCUGAGAGGGAGAAGGUUCUGGAACAGGGGGCCCAGAGGAAAGCCUGCAGCAGGAGCCAGGGUCACGGCGCCCAGCAGCUGCCCUCGCCCUGGCUCGUCCUGCUCCAGGCCAAGCCACCCAUCUCGGAGCCGCCGUAAGGCCUCCUGCAGUCAAACCGCGAGGCAGCACCAUGCCCACAAGAACUUGAGGUUUCUCCUGGCCUCAACCUUCCUCUCAUGACAACAAGGCACCAAUUUCCACGAAGGGCUCUGCGCUCAGGGCAGGGCUGGUAAACACGAGGUCACGCCCUUCCUGUGAGGGAGGUUCCAGUUCCCACAGCGGAGGCCUCGGGCAGGUGGGGGCUGCCGCAAGAGCAGGACAGGGCCAGGGAGCUGGUGUCCACUCCCACAUAGUCCUCUUGCUUUAAACGGUUCUCUUUUGAGAUAAUUGCAGAUUCACACACAGUCGUAAGGAAUAACACGGAGAGUGCCUGUUCCCUUUGCCCAGUUCCCCCAACAGCAGCCCCUUUGCCCAGUUCCCCCAACAGCAGCAUCUUGCAAAGCAAGGAGUGGUCACCGAUGGGAUCAAGUGCCCUGAGGGCGGAUGGCACCAGCUGCACAUACACUGGGUGUGAGCGUGUGUGUCAGUGUGUGUGUGAGCAUGGGGGUGUGUGUGUCAGUGUAUGUGUAUGGGUGAGUCUGUGUGAGUCUGUCAGUGCGUCUGUGUAUAUGUGGGUGUGCAUGUGUGUGUGUCUGUGUGCAUGUGGGUGUGUGAGAGUAUCAGUGUGUCUAUGUGUAUGUGUGCAUGUGGGUGCGCAUGUGUGUGUCAGUGUCUGUAUGUGUGCAUGUGGGUAUGCUUGUGUGUGUGUGCAUGUGGGUGUCCGUGUGUGUGUACCAGUGUGUCUGUGUGCAUGUGUGCAUGUGGGUGUAUUUGUGUGAGGAGCAUGAAUGUGUGUGAAGGAGGAAGUGCAUGAAUGUGUGUGCAUGUCUGUGUGUGUGCUUGUGUGUGUGAGGGACUGGGAGUGUGUGUGUGAGGGACUGUGUGACCAUAUGUGCAUGUGCGAGUGUGUGCAUGUGGGUGUGAGGGAGGGGAGGGUGUGUGAGCAUGUAUGAGCGUGAGUAUGCUUGUGUAUGUGUGCAUGAGUGAGGGAGUGUGUGUGCAUGUGUGUGAGUGCAUGUGGGUGAGGGUGUGUGAGGAAGUGUGUGAGGAUGUGUGUGAGCAUGUGCACGUGUGUGCUUGCAUGUGUGAGUGAGGGAGGGUGUGUGUGUGCGAAUGAAGGAGGGUGUGGGCAUGUGAGGACAUGUGUGAGCAUGUGUGCAUGUGUGUCUGUGAGGGAGGGAGGGUGUGUGCAUGUGAGUUUGUAUGUGUAUGUGUGAGGGAGUGUGUGUGCGUGUGUGAGUGCAUGUGAGGGAAUUUGUGUGUAAGGUUGUGUGUGAGGGAGGGAGUAUGUAUGUGCGCAUGUGUGUGCACGUGUCAUUGAGGGAGUGUGUGUGCGCGCGUAUGAGUGAGUGUGUGUGUGCAUGUGUGCGCUAGCGUGUGUGAGUGAGGGAGGGUGUGUGCAUGUGAGGGAGUGUGUGUGUGAAUGAGGGAGUGUGUGUGAGCAUGUGUGCAUGUGUGCUUACAUGUGAGGUAGUGUGUGCGUGUGUGUGUGAGGGAGUGUGCACAUGUGAGUGUGUCUAGUUUUGGGCAGUUGUGUCCCAUGUGUGUGUGUGAGGGAGUGUGUGUGCAUGUGUGUGUGAGGGACGAGCUGGGCAGUUGUGUCCCGUGUGUGUGUGUGUGUGAGUGUGUGUGUGAGUGUGUCUAGAGCUGGGCAGUUGUGCCCUGUAUGCAGAUCUCUGUGCAGAUGCCGGACAUUUCCAUCCCACGAGCAUCUCUCCUGCUCCUUUUCCAGCCACAGCCACCUCCUGCCCCUCCCUGACCCCUGACCGCUGACACCCGCUGCUCUGCUUUCCGUUGCUGUGACUUUGUCAGCUUGAGACUGUCUCCCUUCACUCAGCCCAGUUCCCCUGAGGCUCACCUGCAACACUGUGCACCCGCUCGCUUGCUGCUUUUCACGCAGUUCACUCUUUACCUGCUGAAGGACAGCUUGAAGGUUGCCUCCAGUUUUCUGCCAUUACAAAUAAAUCUGCGGUGA